rnacentral:sRNA from 1 species
GCCAGGCACGGUGGCACGCGCCUGUAAUCCCAGCAGCUCCGGAAGCUGAGGCAGGAGGAUCACAAAUUCAAAGCCAGCCUCAGCAAAAGUGAGACGCUAAGUAACUCCGUGAGACCCUGUCUCUA